UGCAGUCGAACGGUAGCAGGAUGUGCUUGCACAUCGCUGACGAGUGGCGGACGGGUGAGUAAUGCUUGGGAACUUGCCUUUGUGAGGGGGAUAACAGUUGGAAACGACUGCUAACACCGCAUAAUGUCUUCGGACCAAACGGGGCUUUUAGCUCCGGCGCAAAGAGAGGCCCAAGUGAGAUUAGCUAGUUGGUGAGGUAAAGGCUCACCAAGGCGACGAUCUCUAGCUGUUCUGAGAGGAAGAUCAGCCACACUGGGACUGAGACACGGCCCAGACUCCUACGGGAGGCAGCAGUGGGGAAUAUUGCACAAUGGGGGAAACCCUGAUGCAGCCAUGCCGCGUGUGUGAAGAAGGCCUUCGGGUUGUAAAGCACUUUCAGUUGUGAGGAAAGGUUGGUAGUUAAUACCUGCCAGCUGUGACGUUAACAACAGAAGAAGCACCGGCUAACUCCGUGCCAGCAGCCGCGGUAAUACGGAGGGUGCGAGCGUUAAUCGGAAUUACUGGGCGUAAAGCGCACGCAGGCGGUUUGUUAAGCUAGAUGUGAAAGCCCCGGGCUCAACCUGGGAUGGUCAUUUAGAACUGGCAGACUAGAGUCUUGGAGAGGGGAGUGGAAUUCCAGGUGUAGCGGUGAAAUGCGUAGAUAUCUGGAGGAACAUCAGUGGCGAAGGCGACUCCCUGGCCAAAGACUGACGCUCAUGUGCGAAAGUGUGGGUAGCGAACAGGAUUA
rnacentral:rRNA from 1 species